ACAGGUGAGUCAUCGAAUCUUUGAACGCACCUUGCGCCUCUUGGUAUUCCGAGAGGCAUGCCUGUUUGAGUGUCAUGAAUCAUCAAUCCCAUGGGUUUUCUGACCUGUGUGGACUUGGAACUGGGCGUCUGCCUCCUAAGGCUCGCCUCAAAUGACUCAGUGGGAUCUCUGACCUACGCCUGACGUGAUAAGUUUCGUCUCGGCCGGUCUAGAGCCCCGCUCACAACGCCCCAUUUUUUGACAUUGACCUCAAAUCAGGUAGGGCUACCCGCUGAACUUAAGCAUAUCAAUAAGCGGAGG
rnacentral:misc_RNA from 1 species